CGGGAUUUCUAGCCGGCCGUCACCGAUUGGCUCGUGCUCACGGCUUCGCGUUUUAAGUGUGAUCCCGGAGAGUCGGCGUCUCCUCUCAACCUAAUGCUUGCUUCCCUUCUGCCUUCCUUUCCCCUUCCUUCUUUCUCUCUCUUUCUUCUUUCUCUCCGGUUUUUUUGUUUGUUUUCUUGAGACAGGGUUUCUCUGUGUAGGUUUGGAGCCUAUCCUGGCACCCGCUUUGGAGACCAGGCUGGCCUCGAACUCACAGAGAUCCUCCUGCCUCCGCCUCCCGAGUGCUGGGAUUAAAGGCGUGCAUCACCAACGCCCAGCGAAUUUUUAACAAUUUCAUAAUUAUUAAUGGGAAUUUAGAUUAAAGCAGUUUUAUUUGUUCCAGUUACCACGUGUCUGACUCCACCACAAUUAUCAUUGUGUCACAUUUUAUUACACCAGUGAAAAUAUACAGCUUAACUACUUCUCUACAAUAUGAAUGACAAAAAUGUCUUCAGUCGGGGCUGGAGGGAUGGCCCAGAGGUUAAGAGCACCGACUGCUCUUCCAGGGGUCCUGAGUUCAAUUCCCAGCAACCACAUGGUGGCUCACAACCAUCCGCUAUAAGAUCUGGUGCCCUCUUCUGGUGUGCAGAUAUACAUGGAAGCAGAAUGUUGUAUACAUAAUAAAUAAAAUCUUUUUUAAAAAAUGCUUAGUGACCACUAUUCUGAGAGUAACUUAAAAAAAAAAUGUCUUCAGUCAACGUCUUGUUGAUAGGACUCUAUCCAACUCAAGCAUGGCGAACAUGGCUCUGGCAGGCCUUGCCCUUCUCCCCCUAGAGAGCUCUCAGAGUCCCAGAACUUAUAAAUUUAUUGGAAUGACUUAUAGGCUACUGUCGAGCUAAUUCAACAAUUUCUGAAUCUGCUGGAAUCCUAAGAAUUAGACUCCAGUGCCAGAGAAGGAAUGGAUGUGCUCACAAGGCAAGGGUAAGCAGGUGGAGAAUGAACAAUCCCUCCCUUCUUCCAUGUCCUUUACAGACUUCCAGCAGAAGGUAUGGCCCAGAUUAAAGGUAUGACUUCCUAUCUCAAAAUCUGGAUAAAAGGUUGGUGCAUCCCCACCUCAAGAUCUGGACCAAAAGCCUGUGUCUUCCUCCCUCAAGGUCCAGAUCACAGGCAUGCCCUUCAUUUCUGGACUGUAGUUCAUUCUAGAUAUAGUCAAGUUGAUGACCAAGUGUAGCUGUCACACCCCCAUUCCCUCUGCCUUGCUAAAAAACC
rnacentral:lncRNA from 1 species